rnacentral:misc_RNA from 1 species
GAUGAAGAACGUAGCGAAACGCGAUAGUUAAUGUGAAUUGCAGAAUUCAGUGAAUCAUCGAGUCUUUGAACGCACAUUGCGCCCCUCGGUAUUCCGGAGGGCAUGUCUGUUUGAGCGUCAUUUCAACCCUCGCUUUAAGCGGUAUUGAGCUUUGAGUCUAUAGCAUACUUGCAAAUGGACUUAGCUUUAAAGUUGAAUGCUUGCAGACGAAUGGCUUGAUUAGCAUAGUAUAAUCUUUUGAUUCUGUUUUUCAUAAAAUUCGUCUUGCCUAACAAAAUUAGGUUUGACCUAAAUUCUUAAUUUUGACCUCAGAUCAGAUAAGGAUACCCGCUGAACUUAAGCAUAUCAAUAAGCGGAGGA